UGGCGACCGGCGCACGGGUGAGUAACACGUAUCCAACCUGCCGAUGACUCGGGGAUAGCCUUUCGAAAGAAAGAUUAAUACCCGAUAGCAUAGUUCUUCCGCAUGGUAGAACUAUUAAAGAAUUUCGGUCAUCGAUGGGGAUGCGUUCCAUUAGCUUGUUGGCGGGGUAACGGCCCACCAAGGCAUCGAUGGAUAGGGGUUCUGAGAGGAAGGUCCCCCACAUUGGAACUGAGACACGGUCCAAACUCCUACGGGAGGCAGCAG
rnacentral:rRNA from 1 species